CCCAGGUGCCCAAGUAGAUGGUUCACUGUGGCCCCAAAGCCUUUGUAUAAGUCCUUAAAAGAUGAAGUUGUUGUUGCUGCAUGUACCCUGGAAUCCAGUAGGGUGCACUAGUGUCUCUCCCAGAGAAUACAGGUGUAAUAUGUGCUUAUGGACCCACCACACUGCAGCAUGGAUUGAACAAAGGAAUUUUGCAACACACCAACUUGGCAUCCAUGUAAUAUUUUUGUAACAUUUAGGAGGCAUCCAGGGG
rnacentral:lncRNA from 1 species